AUCUGCUCCAGUGGGACCUGAAUAAUUAACUUGAAACAAAGGAUAUUACCACGACGAUUGUAAUACACCAUUCAGCUUGAAACAAAGGAUUCUACCAUGUCGAUUGUAAUACACCAUUCAGCUUGAAACAAAGGAUAUUACCACGUCGAUAGUAAUACACCAUUCAGCUUGAAACAAAGGAUAUUACCACGUCGAUUGUAAUACACCAUUCAGCUUGAAACAAAGGAUUCUACCACGUCGAUUGUAAUACACCAUUCAGCUUGAAACAAAGGAUAUUACCACGUCGAUUGUAAUACACCAUUCAGCUUGAAACAAAGGAUUCUACCACGUCGAUUGUAAUACACCAUUCAGCUUGAAACAAAGAAUACUACCACGUCGAUUGUAUUAUACCAUUCAACUUUAGACAAUUAACGGAUACUACCAACUCGAUUGUAUUAUACCAUUCAACUUGAAACAAAGGAUUCUACCACGUCGAUUGUAAUACACCAUUCAGCUUGAAACAAAGAAUACUACCACGUCGAUUGUAUUAUACCAUUCAACUUUAAACAAUUAACGGAUACUACCAACUCGAUUGUAUUAUACCAUUCAACUUGAAACAAAGGAUACUAUCACCAAAUGGGAGCUACACCGGAUAUUGGUUCUAGCUGAAGCGGAGACAGCGUGUAAAAUGCAAGCUGCCGUGCAUUGUCGAAACUUUGUCUUUGUGAUUUACAACAUAUUUAAAGACAAGCUAGAACAAUUCGGGUCUUGUGUGUUUAUGGUUGGUCAUAAUUGAAUAAAAGGAAGAAAUUUGAUUUGAAGUAAU